UUGAACGCAGCUUCCCAAGAAUCCAGUACAGUUUUGGAGACGUCCCAGAAUGAAGGCAGUCUUAGUUAUAUUUCAUCUCCUGAUAUUAUGUGUCCUCCACGAUUGCGCCACGGGCUCCUAUGGUACAUGCACGGACAUUGAGGGCUGGUCAUACGAGCUACCACCAGCCAAGCAUGGCAGAGACAGCGAUGGCUGUGCAAGGACUAGACAUAAGGAUCACUUUCGUGAACUAGGAAAGGAUGAUCAAGGGAAAACUAUAACCAAAGCCUACCUGAAGCGCUGCAGCUACACGUGUGAAAUGCCCUAUCUUCCAAGAUCACAGAAGCGGCGAACACGGAAAGAACCCAGAUGGACGCCCUGCGCGAAAGGGCCUUUCGCGAAGAGCCAUAGGGAAAGUGGAUUCUAUUUGGUCUACUCAAAGUGUCCAGGCGGGGAGUGUUAUUAAUACACAGAUGGAUCUCUUCAUUUAACUACUGGUACGGGCUUCACACGGGUUUCUUACUUCUGACCACGGUUUCUGGUAUCACGUGUUAAGCAUUCUCCCUAGCAAAUGCACGUGCUCAUUAUAAGAAUUUCUAUGUUAUUGGUACUUAUAAUCUGCUGUCUUCCCAAGCCAGCGUGGGCUCGUUGCGCAGCAUGGCUGCGCCGUCUUGCACACCAUAAACACAACCAUCCACCAGCCAUCAUACCCCGUGCUGUAAUUUUAUUAUCCUCUGCUCGACCACAUUGGCAUGGCAAUAUGCCUACACAUAUGGUUUAAGAAAUUUACGACGACAAAUAUGUGUGAGGAUAAGUCGUGGCAAGUGAAUAGUAACACAAUGACUUGGUGCAUGCUGCAAACAAAGCAACCAGAAGCGGAAGGUUGGGCAGAGAAUAAUGACAUUCCAGCCUACAUGUGGCAAUAGGUAACAUGGGACUCUUGAAACUGGCUGACUACAUUCAUGUAAAGACGGACGCAAAGAAGACUACCCACGUGGGACGGAACUACAGCUUCCCGUACAGCAUGGUAGCUACGUGAACUGUUAACACAUUUCCUUCAU